rnacentral:rRNA from 1 species
CUUGGUCAUUUAGAGGAAGUAAAAGUCGUAACAAGGUUUCCGUAGGUGAACCUGCGGAAGGAUCAUUAUUGAAUUCAAAUCAUCUGUGGCUUCGGUCCGGAUGUGCCAACAGGUAAAACUGUUGGUAAUUCUAUCCAUAACACCUGUGAACUGUUGGAUGCUUGCAUCCACUUUUAAACUAAACAUUAUUGUAACAAAUGUAGUCUUAUUAUAACAUAAUAAAACUUUUAACAACGGAUCUCUUGGCUCUCGCAUCGAUGAAGAACGCAGCGAAAUGCGAUAAGUAAUGUGAAUUGCAGAAUUCAGUGAAUCAUCGAAUCUUUGAACGCACCUUGCGCUCCCUGGUAUUCCGGGGAGCAUGUCUGUUUGAGUGUCAUGAACUCUUCAACCCACCAGUUUCUUGUAGACUGAUUGGUGUUUGGAUUUUGAGCGUUGCUGGUCUUCGGAUCUAGCUCGUUCGUAAUAAAUUAGCAUCUCUAAUUCGAACUCGGAUUGACUCAGUGUAAUAGACUAUUCGCUGAGGACACGCUCUUGUAGUGUGGCCGAAUGAGAUCUCAGUAGAAGCUUCCAACUACUUUAGUCAACUUUAGAUUAGACCUCAGAUCAGGCAGGAUCACCCGCUGAACUUAAGCAUAUCAAUAAGCGGAGGA